CUGCAGCCGGUUGACGAGCGGGAUGAGCCCCUCCAUCCCGCCGCGCCACCGCCGCCUCCUCCUUCUCCGCCCGCUGCCUCCGCUGACAGACACAGGUCUUGCUCAGCAUGAAUGGCAAAACAGCAGGGAGCUGCGAGCAUCCAACUGGCUGACGGGCACUGAUGGCCUGGAGCAUGAUCAAAACAUCUUGGCCGGAGCUCACAGAAGAAGUGAAUCCCUACAGCAGGCCCGCUUCUAACCAGGAGCAUAGGAAGAUAACAACGAACAGAGCCACAGACGGAGCUGAGCCCCAGCAGAAGACCCAGACCCAUCCCUGCACUACAGCUGGGGCUGAGAGCACAGCACCAGCAUGGGUGCAGCUGGAACGUGCCCCACGGACCUCAGCCCAUCAUGAAGCCCCUCUCCAUGCAAAGGGUAAGGAUGUGGCAUUACACAGCAAUUAGGAAACGCAGCAGAAAUGCAGAACUGGACAAAGGAGGGAUGAACGCACCCUUUGUGUGAGCUGCCGGGCAAGAAAUGAAAUGGUUUAGAUAAAAUAAAGGGCAUGCACGCUAAUCUGUGUCAUUGGAAUUAUGUUGAGAAUUGGAAACAGAGUUAAAAAUAGACUGAAUGCAGCGCUGCUGAUAAGAGUUGAGAAAUUUGCCAUCGCUGAGCUGGAUGGAUAAUAGACAUCCUUCAUAAAAAGGUGCUAAUGACUAAAGAGAUUUAGAAGGGAACUGCACAGGGCAGACUGACUGCUACACAAAACGAGCUCCAGCCCUGCCCCUGUCAGUGACCGGUGACUGCGUGCAGCCCCGGGCAGAGCGCAGCGUGGCACAGAGCUGUCACAGCUUAUCUGUCUGCAGCAGGGAGCCAGCCAGCCCAAAUCUGAGCGCUGACACUCACGAGCGCUCCGA